GUCAGUGGUAGCUCAGCGGGUAAGAGGUCGGACGACUGAUCGGAUGGUCGUGAGUUCAAAUCCCAGCACUGCCA